UGAAAUUAAUCCUUUUUUUUUGUUUAAGUGUGAGGAUAUCUCAAUCUCCUAAACACAAUGGCAUCAAUUUGGCUUCUUCAAUUCUCCCUUCCCUUCCAGCACCGGGUUCUUCAAAUGGAACAUUGUUGCUACUACAUCAUAGGCAUUGUCUAAGCCAACGGAUCAACUGGAUUCCUCUUAACACCUAAUAGAACGUUUUCGAUGAGAGCUAUUAACGAUUCAAUGAGCUCCGAGGAGGACAAUCGUGCCCAGAACGAGGUUGUUGAUACAGCGAAAGUACUCUGGUGAUGAAAUUUUUUCCCAAAAACUACUUUGCACUGGGAUUGUGUAUUACAAUU